rnacentral:sRNA from 1 species
ACGACCUUACUUGAAAAUGACAUUUUCUGUAAGCUGAUACCAGUGUAGCCUUGAGUUCUAAAGAUACAGGAAACCAAAUCUUGUGAAGUUAUGAUCACUUGACUAGAGCUUCAUUAACAACUCUACGAUCAUGAAAGAUU